rnacentral:tRNA from 1 species
GGCCGCGUGGCCUAAUGGAUAAGGUGUCUGACUUCGGAUCAGAAGAUUGCAGGUUCGAAUCCUGCUGUGGUCG